CAAAUAACAAACAAGCGUUGUUGUUCUUUCGCAUUUCUUCUUGGACGCAUAAAACUGCAUGUAAAAAAUAGCAUCCAGGAGGGGAAUAGAUCUCUUAACUGUGCUUUUCCUUUUUUUAAGAGGAUACGAAGUUAUAGUGUUAUAGCUGCCUUUGUUAUUCGUGUUAACGUUUAGGAAUUCAUAUAAAAACUGCGGUGGUUAAUUUGGCUGAGCUAUUUUAAUUUGAUUGUAGCUCUUAUGUUCUUUUAAAAUCUUUUAAGUUAAAAUUAAAACAAUUUGUAGUAACCAUAUUUAAUUGUCAGCUGCACUGUUGAACCUCAUGAAUAAUAUGAUUUCUUUAAUAGAAAUUUUGUUUUAUAAUUUCAUAAAAAAAUGAUUUUUAAAUUAUUUAUGAAAUAAACGUAUAAAAAAAACCCUCUUCAAAAUCGGCGGCGCAAUUAGUGUUUCGUCUUGAAGGAAUAUAUCUCCCAUAUCAUGUGCCUGAUUCAUUUUAUGGUCAUAGAAUAAAGUUUUUAAUAAGCUUAAAAAACCGAGUUUUACUGUUAUCUCAUUUUCAGCGAGGACCAAGCAACGAUAGAAUUAUAUUUAAAUGAAAAAUGAAUUAAUGCGUAAACUAUCUAACCAUGUUUUUUGUUAAUUGUUAGUAAUACUAUUCUAAUAAUUUGGUGGUUAUGUUGUUAGAACUUUUUUUUCUCAAAUCAAUUGUCUGUAUACAAAAAAAAAUGUGUUAAAUAAAAAUUCUUGAAUUUUAUUCGCUGUAUUGGAAUUAAAAAUAAUUUAGUACAUUUUUCUAUUGUGGGUAAAUUAUUUUUAUUUUAUUUUAACAUAAAUUUACACUCAUAAUUUCGCUAUUAAAAUGUAUAUUAGUAGUUAUAAAUGUUUAAUUAAUGUAAUUAAAAAUUAUCCGGUUAUAAAAUGAAAACCUUAUGCAUACAAGUAAUUAAAAAUACGUUGAAUUAGGACUUUCGUUGUAGAUUUUAGGUCUAAUUUCUCACAUACGGAGUGUAUCUUUACCGACAUAAUUAUAAUAAUAGUUUUAUUCUCGUGUAUGAUCUUUUAAAGCUAUUGUUAUUUUUUACGUUUUUGUGCACACUUAAUUGAAUCCGUUUUUUUUCGUGGUAAAUCCGCUAUUUUUUAUUAUACCGUAUCCUUAAUUCCCUUAACGGUGUACCUCCACCGCACUCACUAUAAAAACAUUAAUACUAAGCUUUGUAUGUAUUUGAUUUAUUAUCUAUUGGUUAGCUUUUGUUAUUCGGUAAUAGCGUGUAUACCAUUCUGGAAUAGGAAGUGCAGUUUUCAAAUCUAGAUCACUAGUUGUUUAGUAAUUUUGUUGUUAACUAUUUAACAAAUAAUAUACACCAAAACAGUAAUUUUUAAAACGCGCCAAACCAACGAUAGAUUUGUCAGUCGAUUCUUCUACAAUAUAAUUUAGAAAAAAUACUAUCCAGUACUAUAAUAACAAUUAUUUAAAAUCAUUGAAAAUGGUAUUUUUUUACUAUUCGUACUACAAUUAGCAGGCACAUUUCAUUGUAUAAAUGAGAAAAAAUUAAGUUUUAUCGAAUUAUUGAUAACCGAUUUGCUUUUAAACAUGAAUUCCACUUUGAUUUGCAUAUGAUACAAACCAGUGUGUAGUUACGUUGUUUGUUUUUUCCCAGCGUUGAAUUAACGAAAUAUGCGUGUAAUAUAAAUAAAACAAUCUUGUUGACGCCUUAGAUUUUUUGAAAGAAAAUGCCGCUAUACACAUGUGUUUUGCAGUGAGAAUUUGCGGUUUUGUGUUUUUAUCGUCAUCAUCAGUCAUGCACUAUGAGAUGCUAUACCACCGUGUGAAAACCACUUCAAUAAUAAUAAUUUGUAAAAAUUAUACCAUUGGAACAGCGGGUAACGUAAUUUGAUUUUAAAACAACAAUGAAUAAUGAACAUGUGGCAAUUAUAUCUUUUUUACGGUUUGCAACAACAAUUCGUAAAACAUACUGUUUUUCUAUUUCACGUUUUGUGUGAAUAAUAUUGUAAUCUUGUAUAAGUUUAUACCUAUUUUUACAACGUCGUUCACAAUAACCGAUUUUUAAAAAUUUUAUAAUCCAUUUAGAACAUUAUGAUCAUUCUACCAUUUAGAAAAGUUUUUUUUAGUUAGAAAAUGAGCAAUAAUAGAAAAUAGUAAAUAAAUUUUUGGUGUCGGAUGUUAUUAAUAGUGAAACUAUACGUGUUUCAAGAAAGAAAACUCAUUUUUGAAAUACAAAGUUCGGACAUACGUUUCAGCAAAACAAAAACACAUUUUCUUAGAGAUAUUUUUAUCUGUAAGAAUUAAUUUAAAUUUAACUUGAAACAAGUAUAUCUUAAAUGCAUAAAUGACUUUGGCCAUCCAUCUGGCAUAACUCACAGCUCAUGAUAUUCAAAAUGUUUUUCUGUUUUAGGAAUAAUUCCAAGAAUAAUCAUUGUCAAUCAUAAUAGAUCAC